AGCGAACGCUGGCGGCAGGCUUAACACAUGCAAGUCGAGCGGGCCGUUCGGGGUCAGCGGCGGACGGGUGGGUAACGCGUGGGAACGUGCCCUCUGGUUCGGAAUAACUCAGGUAAACUUGAGCUAAUACCGGAUACGCUCUUUCGGGGUAAGGCUUGCUGCCGGAGGAUCGGGGCGGGUCUGAUUAGCGGGUUGGUGAGGUAACGGCUAACCAAGGCGUCGUUGAGUAGCUGGUGUGGGAGGAGGACAAGCCACACUGGGACUGCGACACGGCCCAGACUCGUACGCGGGGGAGCAGUGGGGAGUAUUGGACAAUGGGCGCAAGUCUGAUCCCGCCACGCCGGGUGAGUGAUGAAGGGCGUAGGGUUGUAAAGCUCUUUGAUCCGGGACGAUAAUGACGGUACCGGGGGAAUAAGCCCCGGCUAACUUCGUG
rnacentral:rRNA from 1 species